UACGGAGGGAGCUAGCGUUAUUCGGAAUGAUUGGGCAUAAAGGGCGCGUAGGCUGUUUUGUAAGUCAUGAGUGAAAUCCCCAGGCUUAACUUGGGAACUACUUAUGAUACUGCAUUACUUGAGUACGGGAGAGGGUAGCGGAAUCUUUGGUGUAGAGGUGAAAUUCUUAGAUAUCAGAGAGAACAUCGGUGGCGAAGGCGGCUACCUGGAACGAAACUGACGCUGAGGCGCGAAGGCGUGGGGAGCAAAUCGG
rnacentral:rRNA from 1 species